UACCAGCACCCCGAGUGGUCGGGACGAUUAUUGGGCCUAAAGCAUCCGUAGCCGGUUCAUGCAAGUCCUACCGUUAAAUCCACCUGCUUAACAGAUGGGCUGCGGAGGAUACUACAAGGCUAGGAGGCGGAAGAGGCAAGCGGUACUCAGUGGGUAGGGGUAAAAUCCUCUGAUCCAUUGAAGACCACCAGUGGCGAAGGCGGCUUGCCAAUACGCGCUACGGACGGUGAGGGAUGAAAGCUGGGGGAGCAAACCGG
rnacentral:rRNA from 1 species